ensembl:lincRNA Gm2824 predicted gene 2824
AGGAUGCAGCCCUCCCGCUGUGCACACCAGUUUCCUGCUCAGCACAGCUGCCUGCUCAGCUGGGGGUUGGAAAUCAGCACUGUGAGAAAAGACAGAAAUGACCGUGAUGCGUGCCUCUCUCUAUGAGGAAAAGAUUCAGUGCAACCCCAUCAAAAUUCCAACACAAUCUUGAAAGAAAAAAAUUUCAACUUCGUAUAGAAAAACAAAUAUCCGGUAUAGCAAAAAUGACCCUGAGCAAUAACAGAGCUUCUGUAGAUAUCAUUAUGUCUGACUUUAAGCUAUACUACAGAGUAACAGUAAUAAAAAAAAAUCCCUGCAUGAUAUUGGUAUAAAAAUAACAGGUGGAUCAAUGGAAUCAAAUUGAAGACCCAGAAAUAAACCCACACACCUAUUUAAACUUGAUUUUUGACAUAGAAGCCAAAACAAUAGAAUAGAAAAGGGAGAACAUCUUCAACAAAUGGUGUAGGUUUAGCUGGAUAUCUCCAAGUAGAUCUAUAUCUAUCAUCCUGCACAGAACACAAGUCCAGUGGAUCAAAGAACUUAACAGAAAACCAGACACACUUAAUCCAAUAGAACAGAAAGUGGAGAAUAUCCUUGAACAGACAACUUCCUGAACAGAACCACAAUGGCUCAGGCACUAAGGUCAAGAGUUUAUAAGUAGGACCUCAUGAAACUGAAAAUUUUUCAAAGGACACUGUUAUUAUGAUAAUAUGGCAGCCUACAAAUUGGAAAAAGAUCUUCACUAUCCAUACAUCUGACAGAGGGAUUAAUAUUCAAAUAAUCUAAAUAACCUAAUUAAAAAUGGGAUACAGAGCUAAACAAAGAAUUCUCAAGAGAGAAAUCUUGAAUAGCUGAGAAAUACCUAAAGAAAUGUUCAACAUCCUUAGUCAUCAGGGAAAUGCAAAUCAAAACAACCUUGAUAUUCCACCUUGCAUGCAUCAGAAUGGCUAAGAUCAAAACUCAAAGGACAGCACAUCCUGGCAAGGUUGUGGAGCAGAGGGUACACUCCUCCACUGCUGCUGGGAGUUCAAACCUGUACAACCACUCUGGAAAUUAAUUUGGCAGUUUUUCAGAAGAUUGGGAAUAGUUCUACCUCAAGUCGCAGAUAUACUACUUCUUGGCAUAUACCCAAAAGAUACUCUGCCAUCCAUAAGUGAUUAUUCCUAAUAGCCAGAAACUGGAAACAACCUAGAUGUCCUUCAACAGAAGAAUAGAUGAAGAAAAUGUGAUUUAUUUUCACAAUGGAAUACUACCCAGCCAUUAAAAAUAAGGACAUUCUGAAGUUCACAGGCAAAUGUAUGGAACUUGAGAAUAUCAUUAUGAGUAAGGUAAUCCAAACCCAAAAGGAGAUGCAUGACAGGAACCUAGCAUAACUGUCCUAUGAGAAGCUCCACCCAGCAGCCAAUGGGAGGAGAUGCAGUAACUCACAUUAGAUGGAGCUGGGAGAAAGAUUGAGGGACCCGAAGAGGACAGGGACUCUGCAGGAACAUCAACAAAUUCAACUAACCUGGACCCUUGGAGGCUCCCAGAGACUAAAUCACCAACCAAAGAACAAGCAUGGGCUGGACCUAGGAUCUCUGCACAGACGUAGCAGAUGAGCAGCUUGGUCUUCAUCCUGGUCUCCCAAGAGCUGGAGCAGGGGUUGUCCCUGAGCCUGCUGCCUUCUGACCUGCCUGUGGAACCUGUGCUCAUAAUGGAUCCCCUUGUCUGGCCUCAGUGGGAGAGGAUGUGCUUAUUACCACAGUGAUGUGAGGUGUAAAGUGUCAGAAACCAGACCUUGAAAAAGGCCACGAUGGAGUUGAAGAAGAUCUCUCUGGAGGAAGACAGCAGGACGUGUGCUAUGGAGAGGAAACUGGGAAAGAUGGAGAUGAGAAUUUGCCUAUAGGGGAAGAAGUAGAAGCAAUACCAAAGGGGAUGGUUUGAGGAGGGGUUGAAAGGCCAUAGAGAAAUGUAUUUUAUGUUAACAUAAAAAUUGCAUGCACUAUAUGUAAAGGUAUGUACCUACAUAUAUAAUUAGCUAAAUGAAGAUAUGCCACUUGAGGCAAUAGCCGUAGACCAUAUGGCAAAAUCUCCAGGACUUCCUUCAACUUGUUGGUUAAGGGAACCUAAGAGGCUCUGAAAAUAAUAUAGGUGAUUGCCAAAGCACUUGGUUAAAUCCCAGAACUUUUGGGUAAAGUCCUAUUGUAGAAAACACCAUGUAGUUCAGACACAGGAUUGGGUGGAGCCAAGCUAAGCUUGAACUGACCAGGAAUCCCCUCCUUGAGGUCUGCUCCUAUCGUGCAGGAAGAGUCUGUGAAAGCUGCGGGGAAGAUAAACAACUAAAAUCCUACCUAGCUGUGAAGUCUAAGAACCAAGCCAUGGCCAGCUCAGCAGAUAUUGCCAAGGCAAGCUAACAGUCAACUGUGACUCCAUUUUCUGGCAUUCAUAAGCUCUACACUCAGAAGCACAUAUCCCCUAAUAUACUGACAUAUACAAAUACAUAAAUUAAAACUAGUAAAAUAAUACCUGGAAAAGAAUUUAUGCCAUCAGUAUUAUAUCCCCUUUAUUAUGUCCUUGAGUGUGAGAUUAUUGGUUUCCAUAUAAGUUUUUCAUAACUCUUUGAUUACGCCUUCUUCCACCCCCUCAUUUUGCCAUAUGCUAAUACCUUCCAUGUUUGAAUCUUAGUUCUUCAAAUAUCCCCCAUAUCUAAUCCUAUUUUACCUCUGUUUCUGCACCUCCACUUUCAUAGUGAGUCGGUCUUCAAUUACAAGGAUUCCACAUAUACUACAAAGUUAAAUAUCUGAAGCAAAUUACUCAAGCUAGAAUCCACCUACAAGAGAGAACAUGCUGCAUUUAUCUUUCUGAGCCAUUGUGAUGUCAUCUAGCAUGAUACAGGCCAUCCAUUUCUAUGCAAAUUUUAUAAUAUCAUCUUUAGGAACCUGCUACAUUUGUCUUUCUGAGCCAGGAUGACCUCACUAAGUAUGAUCUUUCCAGGUCACCCAUUUCUCUGCAGAAUGUGUGAUAUUGUUUUUAUUUGUAGCUAAGUAAUAGUCCACUUUGUAUAUGUAAUAAAUGUCCAUUAUCCAUUUAUCAGCUGAGGGACAUCUGGGUUGUUUCCAUUUCAUAGCUACUGUGAAUACAGAAGCCAGUGCCCAGCUCAGGUCAUCUAUAACAGUGUUUCCCAAUCUAAGGCUCAGAGAAUCACAGAAGAGUGGGUGGGAAGAAGGGGAGAGACAGGGAAAGGAGAGGAGAACAGUAAAAUCCUGUCUCCUGCAUGUGCAUGGCAGACACACAAGUCAUGUGACCAUAGCUACAACUGACUGCACAGAAACAGAUAAGAUAAAGCCCAUUUAAAUUCUAGCAUGGAUAGGGAAGGAAUCCUGAGACCCCCAUCCCUAGAUCAAGAGCCAUUGGCAGUUGGUGGUGGACAGAGAGUCACUUUCUUUGGGCUAGGUAGUACAUGGCUCCGGUCUCAGUGCAUAACCCCACAUCUCUUUGCACAUAGGAAGCACUAAUUGGAUUCAGUGGGCUAUUAACAACAAC